rnacentral:lncRNA from 1 species
AAGAUAUAUUGUUUAUUGGAAGCCUCAUGAGAUGAAAACAUAUUUUUAUAUAGAAAUAACAAAACAAAAUGGAAUGUGAAAUAUAACAACGAAAUACCAAAUUUAACUAAAAUCAUAUAAUGCAUAAAAUAGAACAGUAUGAUGAAAUAGUAAAUUACUGAUAGUAAAACUACUUAAAUAGGUUAUUCAUGAUAAAUUAAAGAUAAAAUGUUAGAACAUGAUAUAAAUAUACUCAAUCAAGAACAGAUAUGCAAAAUUAUCAUAAAGAAAGAGUUUAAAUGAGGUAAUGUUAAACAUCAAGGGAGAUAAUGUGUUGUUCAACAACAGUUACUUCCCUUGCACUUUUAAAUGAAUUUGUUCAUUGCUUUACAUAUGAUACAAAGCCCAUUAUUUUUCUUAUAGUCUAAACUACAAAAAAGUAUAUAUCAAAAUACUAAUAUUAUUAAUUUAUACUAAUUUCAACUACUUGAGCAAAUGUCAAGGUAUCCAAGAUAGGUUCCCUUUUCAGUCUGAAUAAAUAACUAUUUGUUCAUACAAUGAUUUUUUUCUGUCUUUUCUGUGGUUAAAAAAAACUCAGGGUUUUAUUUGUUUUUUUGGCAAUAAUAAUAAAAAAUUACAAACAUCUCAAGCCUAUAAUUCUUAUGGAUAUAAUUGAAAAGUAUUUGGCCUAUGAGCUCAUGUCGUCUGCUCUUUCAAACAAGAAAUGAAUUCAAAACCUAAGAGAUAUCAGGUUAAGCAAGAGUAGCCUACCUUUAUAUGUGAACACAUGCUUACAUAUUAAUGUGUUAGCUCUCUUACGAAAUGAUACAUUUAAUAUGUUAAAUGUAUCAUGAAUACAAUAAUUUUUCUUACCAGAAAUACUUCAUGUGCCCCUUGAUAUCAUUCUGUCAUCACAAAUAACUCAUAAAAUGAAUAAUAUAAAUAAAAAUAAAUAUAUCUUUAAAUAAUUAAAAAAAAUAUUACACAACCAUUUUAUAAGUUAGUAAAAUUACACAAAUUUUUCACACAUGCUUUCUAUGAAGAAUACAAAUAAAAAAUAUGAAAAAAACCAAACAUCCAUCUGAGAAGACAAUCAUUGAAGCAAAUAAUGUCUACCAAUACAUAUACUUGGAUAUAUAAAGACUGCUAUUUCUCUAAAAAAAAAUAUACAUUUCUGCUUUCAUCAAUCAAUUUUCUAAUGUGUGGAGCACUCUUCAAAAACUAUAUAUAUAUUAUCUUUAAUAAAUAACUUGAUUAACGGUAUCUUAAAAUAUUCUCUGAAAACUCUGUUUUGAAAUGUAAAUUAUAAAUGUAAUCAAGUUACUAAGAUACUAUAGAUAUCCCAGACACCAUAAAAGUGUUUUAAAAUCAUCAUCUUAUAAGGGUUUAUUACUACACAGUAGUAUCACUGAGAAGAAACAUCAAAAUCAUGAAAAAUAAAAUCUAUAGCAGUUAACUUCAUUAUUUUGGGUUGAUUUCAUGGGUACAGGGGAACUAUGGGUUUCAAUGUUAAGGAAAUUACAAAUUUUUGUGUUUAGGAAUACAUGAAGACUUUUUCAAAACCAUGGAAUUAAAUAUCCUCAAUGAUGCAAGUUUUCCUAAAUCCAUGCAAAUUGGUAUGUAACCACGAAAAUAAUUGAAUUCACAGUAAAUACAAAUUCUUAACAAAUUAACUUUCAACGGUAUAAACAUUACAGUUUCAGUGUUCAUGGUUGGAGCCACAAACAUCCUUUUCACUCUAAAUCUGCAUUUAGAUGAAUGCAGACAGUAAUGUGAAAUGUGUAGGCUGAUGGAAUUGAGAGUUUAUCUUUUCUUCAGGUGAUUUGACUAUUGUACUAAAAUGGGUGAUAAAACUGUUUAAAGCAUUUAUAUUCGUUGUGAUUUUGUACAUGUGUAUCCAAAAAUUCAAUUUCUGUUAUAGCUUAUAAAAUGCAAUACUGCAGCACCUAUGAACAAUGAUAACUAUUUACACACUGAUUGAAGACACACAAAAAAAUCUGAGUAUCAAAUAAUUACAUUUAAGGUGGUACCUAACACUACAGGGAGAUAACUCUGUAAAGUCAGCUAAACGUUUUAAUUACGUUGAGUUGUAAAAGGAAUAUUAAGCUUCUCAAUGAUCAAAAUUGGUGUUUGUCAAAUUGCUAUAUAACCAGUAUAAUUUUUCUGACAAAACGGUUAAUUCAAAAAAAAAUUAAUUUUUAUAUUUUUAUUAAAGUUUCAAAGUAAAUACUUUGACAAAAUUUUAUGAAAAUUAAACGAGCCAAAUUAAUUUUAGUGAAAGUGUUGGGUACCACCUUAAGCUUUCCCAAUUCUGGCUAAAUCUUUUUAAACAUCUUUUAAUUUUAUAUUACUCUUACAAAUGUAUUUUAGACUUAAAAGGGUACAGAUCUAGAUCACCUAAGGGAAUCAACUACCCUGAAAUUUCUUGAGUCAAGGAAUUUGUCAAAUAACAGAAAAGUUUGUUUGCAUUUAAUCAAAGGACAAAAUUAGGGUUAGUUGACACCUCCCCAGACCAAUUUGAAAUAUAUGAUUUAUACAAUUAUUGUUAUUAUAUAUUUGAGUAUAUACAUGUACCGGGUAGUAUUAAUUAAUUGUUUGACAUGGGCUUGUCUAAAACAAAGUUAACCUGACUGCACUAUGUUGUACAAAACCUCAACCGUAGAGUUUAGGCCUGGAAGAUAUAGCUAUAAAGCCAAUGAAAAUAGGUUUUUGAUAGCAUUUUAUGCAAUCAUUUUCCCAAAAAAUAUGAAACACUGAUCAAAAUAAUAAAAAUCAAUACAAUAAAAUAAUAAUAUGUUUAUACAAAGUUCCAACUGCAAAUUCUGGAUUAACAUAUGCAUGCAAGUACAUAUUCGGGGGUUCUAUUUAUGCAAAUGAUAUACAUGAUAUUUCCAACAGAUUACAUUUUUACAUUUUGAGCUUUUAAUACUGUCUGAUCUAUAAAAUAGUACAUGUACUAUAAAAAAAAAUAUAAAAAUACUUAUUGACAUUAAAAUUGUUUUCUCCAAAUAGGGUUUUGUUCAAAUUGUAAAUAACAUUGUUAAAUGUACAAAUAUUUUAUGGUAUAAACACAAACAAUAAUAAUAUUCAGGUACAGUCAUGACAGUAGGAAUCGCUUUCACACAUUUUCUAUCAUAUACAUGCACUAUCCAAUUGAUAAAAGUUGACAAAUUCACAAAACUGGCUUUCAGGAAAAUGAUAUGUUGACAUGGUACAAUAUGCAUAACUAAUAAUAUUUCAUAUUUAUCUAUUGAACUUUUAAGUGGAAUGUACAUGUAUGACUGAAUAACAGAAUUUUAGAUUAACUAAUCAAGUACAAAAAAAUGUAGCAUUUCUAUAAUUUGUAGAUCACCUAGAUGAACUAGUGUCUAUGUUCCGGACCAUAUGAGUAUUUGGACCAUACGCGUAUGGUCAUGACCAUAUGGGUAUAUACUCAUAUGGUCCGACCAUACGCGUAUGGUCCGACCGUACGCGUAUGGUCGGAGUAAUUGACACUCUGUAACAGUUUACUUUUAAUACUUCUAAACUCUUCAUAUGGUAUGACCGUUCAUUAAAAAGACGCUAUCAUAUAGGUAAUGUUAUUAUUAUAUUAUAAUGAAAAGAUUAGCUAAAUAAAAAUUAGAAGUUUCACAUAUUUAAUUUUACUUACUUGUCAAAACUAUAAUAAACACAUUUUAUACCGAUGGUCAUAAAGAAAACCUUACACAAUGGUACAACUGACUAUAUUCAGUAUGGUGAUGCAGCAUCUUACAUCCUCAAACUUGGAAACUAAAUUAACCUUGAAAAUUCAAAUGUGUAUAUCAGUGCCUUGUACUUGUAUGAUAUUAGUCUUUAUAUAAAUUUAUUCCUUAAGAUAUGAAAUGUUCAUAUCCAAUUUGUCAUCUCUAAUAAGACUUUAUUUACAAAAUAUAACACAUGAGUAAAAAAAAAAACACUUUCAGAAAAAAAAGAGCAACUAUAAAAAGUGGGACACCAAAAAUUGAAAAAAAUAUCUUUCCUUUAAAAAGUAUUUCAUGGUAGAAUUUGACAUCAGAAUAAAAAAAUGUCAACUUAUUGCAAUACAAAGAAAACAUAACUUAAUUACCAUUGUUUACAGAAGCUCCCAUUUCGCCUUAAAUAAUUCUUGUGUACCUGAAAAUUUGUACUAAGGCAAACUGGGAUUAAUUUUAUAUAUACAUUUUGACAACUAAGGCGAAAUGAGAAUAAGCCCUGAUUUGUUAUUACGAAUGAUGGCAAUAUGUCGACUUAAAAAAAUUCAUUCCAAAAAAUUCAUUAUGAACUGUUACACAAGAAGUCACUGGAAAGUAAAAAUAAUACAUUGUCAUGUAACCAUCAUUGUUUUUUUAGAUAAAGUUUUUGUAUUAUUGAAACUUAUAUAAUUUAAUUUUAAAAAAAUACCUAUAUGGUCCAAAUACUCAUAUGGUCCGGCCCGUUAAUAAACAAACGAGUAUAUACUUAUAUGGUCCGACCAUACGCGUAUGGUCCAAAUACUCAUAUGGUCCUGAACAUCUACAUGUAGAUGGGGUAAGAUAACUUCUAGAGGGUUAAUUGAAAAAGAAGUACUUUCAGAGGAGAAUAUUUAGUAUGUAAGAAUCAUAAAAGAGAUAUUUACAUUACGUUCCAUAAAAUAGUAUAUGUUUGUCUUUUUUUAAAUUACACAAGUAAUUUAGUUUAUAAAUUUUGAUCUAUUGUACAUGUAUAAUUCAUGAUAAUUCAAAAUGUAUUGGAGAAAACAGUUAAAAAAUUGGGGAAUCAGUGAUUCAAAAAGAUGUGCCACUGAUCUUAGUCAUCUAAGAGGUUUAAGAUUUGAAAUGCAUACUAGUUAGGAAUAGUUUAAAUAAAGUGUGAUUAAAAAUGUGGCAAAAUCUUAACUUAUUCCCAUGACUUUAUCGAUACAAUAAGAUAUAAAGUAAGUUUUAAUAUACAGGCAAAAUAUGUCAGUAAUUCAAAAGAAUCAAUAAAUUAAGAAUACAAUAACAAGUUUGAUAUGCAAAAGUAUCAUUACUAACAGCCUUCACCAUUUUAUAUGUAGUUUUACAAUGCUGUAACAGAUACAAAAUAUAAAAGUUAAAAAAAAAAGCACCAAUUUACAGUUUGGUUUUUGUAAACACUGAGAUUUUGGCUUAGCUUUCAGCUAGAAUAGCACUAUUUAGUGACAGAUAAUACUGGUUUAUUUUAAACAAAUGUGCAUUUAAAAAUGGAGAUUACAAACAUUUCCAAAUCACAUGCUCUUUAUAUAUGAUAAAUAACGUUGAAAAAUAUAAUACUAGUUGAGAGUAUAUUCUACAGAUUUAUAUGUAUUUUGCUGCAGUGCUUUUUUACACAAGAUAUGAUUGAAUCAUCCUUUCCUUUUUAUUUUUGGAAGAACUACUGUAAAUUCAGAAAUAUUUAUGGCAUUUUUUAUUGUGAUCUUGUCAUUUUAGACUUAAAUGUGAAUUUAAUUUUUGUGAUAUUGAGAAAA